UACGUAGGGUGCAAGCGUUUAAUCGGAAUUACUGGGCGUAAAGCGUGCGCAGGCGGUUCGGAAAGAAAGAUGUGAAAUCCCAGGGCUCAACCUUGGAACUGCAUUUUUUAACUUCCCGAACCUAGAGUAUGUCAGAGGGGGGGUGGAAUUCCACGUGUAGCAGUGAAAUGCGUAGAUAUGUGGAGGAACACCGAUGGCGAAGGCAGCCCCCCUGGGAUAAUACUGACGCUCAUGCACGAAAGCGUGGGGAGCAAACAGG
rnacentral:rRNA from 1 species